GACGAACGCUGGCGGCGUGCUUAACACAUGCAAGUCGAACGGAAAGGCCCUGCUUUUUUGGGGUUCUCGAGUGGCGAACGGGUGCGUAACACGUGAGUAACCUGCCCUUGACUUUGGGAUAACUUCAGGAAACUGGGGCUAAUACCGGAUAGCAGCUCCUGCUGCAUGGUGGGGGUUGGAAAGUUUCGGCGGGUGGGGAUGGACGGGCGGCUUGUGAGCUUGUUGGUGGGGUAGUGGCUGACCAAGGCUUGGACGGAUAGCCGGCAUGAGAGGGUGACCGGGGUCAAGGGGACUGAGAGAGGGCGCAGAGGCGUAUGGGAGGCAGCAGGGGGGAGUAUUGCACAAUGGGCGGAAGCCGGAGGCAGCAACGCCGGGUGCGGGAUGACGGCCUUCGGGGUGUAAACCGCUUUAGGCUGUGACGAAGCGGGAGUGACGGUAAUGGGUAAAGAAGCACCGGCUAACUACGUG
rnacentral:rRNA from 1 species